rnacentral:rRNA from 1 species
UACGUAGGCAGCGAGCGUUGUUCGGAGUUACUGGGCGUAAAGGGUGUGUAGGCGGUUUUCUAAGUUUGGUGUGAAAUCUCCCGGCUCAACCGGGAGGGUGCGCCGAAAACUGGGAGACUAGAGUGCGGGAUGGGAGAGUAGAAUUCCUGGUGUAGCGGUGAAAUGCGUAGAUAUCAGGAGGAAUACCGGUGGUAUAGACGGCUCUCUGGACCGCCACUGACGCUGAGACACGAAAGCGUGGGUAGCAAACAGG